rnacentral:lncRNA from 1 species
CAAAGGUCAAGAUUUAACAAAAUUAGUAACUUUACUAUUUCAUAGACAUUCAUUAGAAGAACUGGCCUGUUUGUACUGUGAGUGUGUGGCAUGAGGAACCCACUGUCUUAACGCAGUUUUAACCACUGCUGCUUUUGCGCUGUUAUCACAGCAAAUGUCAACACAUUGAAAAAGGAAAACAAUGUCAUAGUCUAAUUAUGAAACAGUUGUGACCUCACAGACCCCCCACCCUACCCCCGCAACUAAAAGGAUCCCAGGGCCCUCCAGGGAUCCACAGAACACACUUUGAAAACCACUGGUCUAAACAAUCUGAUGUUGGGGGAAAGGUGUCCUGCCCAUACCCUGACCUGGCGUGAGCAAUUCUCCUUCAUCCUGGGGCUUACAGCUUUGGGAAGGAGGAAGCUAGCUUUUUUCAGAGGGCAGGUGAUGGAGGGGGAUCUCUCUUUGUAGCCACUGUCCAUGGAGGCCGCUCACCCCCUGUGAGUGGCACAUACCCAGCCAAUGACUGACUGGAUCACCCCAGGAAUGUUGUACUCCUGCAGGCGAAACAGGUCCGAGGGCUCACAGUCCACAGUGAAGCUGUUGGUGUCGUUGUUGUACUCCACAGGGCAGACAAAGCAUCUGUACCCGGACAUCACAUAGGACAGCUGAGGAGGAAUAACAGAGAGACCGGCAAGGAGGUUGUGGAUAACAAGAUGUGACUGUGUUACAACAAUCAGCAAUGUCACAUGGGUCCAGCCAAACUGCAAAAAGAAGAAAAAUAAACACUACUUAACAGUUUACCUUGAAAGUAACUUCAAAGAACAAUCAAUACCAAAUAGAAAACUGCUGAGAAGCAGACUGCUUGUUCCUGUGAACCAACCAGUGAUCUCUGGCUGCAGCUCAGAAGAAACAAGAGGGAUUGGUGAUGUAAAAAUCUGAAUCAGUAUUCUAAUUCUGGGAACAUAUUGCAAUCAGCUACCGACCCCGUAUCAGCUUGGUUCCAACAAUUACCCAGUUCAUGGAAAGCCUUCUUUAGUUUACUUGGGAUAGUUUUGCUUAUUUUGCUUUACUGAUAUGGAAUAGUUGUACUAUUUGUGUAGGAAUGCAGGAUAAGCUUACUCAAUGUUCUCUUAAACACUUACAAAAUCUUCCAGAUAUCACUUUGUGUCCGAGCUGUGAAUGGCCCUAACCAUACUGACACUUUCUGACUGAGCUCCUCUCUACCCUGAAUACAAGAGACCUCGAUAGGUAGGCAGGAAUAUCAUUGCCCCUAAUCAGCCUGAAGAAGUUACAGAGGAUGGAUCUUCGUCCCUCUGCAACCCUUAGGAUUAAGGGUUCUCUUAUAAAAGUGAUGGGGGAAAUGUCAGAGGCAUUUGAGCUAGAGCAACUCCAUCCUGAAUAGGAGCUGGGUAAAAUGAGGCUGAGAUCUACAGGGUCUGCAUUCCCAGACGGUUAGGUAUUCUAAGUCACAGGAUGACAUAGGAGGUCACACAAGAUACAGGUCAUAAAGACCUUGCUGAGAAAACAAUUGCAGUAAAGAAGCUGGCCAAACCCCUCCAAAAUCAAGAUAGCAAUGAGAAUGACCUCUGCUUGUCCUCAUUGCUACACUCCAAUCAG